rnacentral:tRNA from 1 species
GUAUGUAUAGCUCAACUGGUAGAGCACAUGCUUAGCAUGGACGAGAUCCUGGGUUCAAUCCCCAGUACCUCCA